UACGUAGGGGGCAAGCGUUAUCCGGAUUUACUGGGUGUAAAGGGAGCGUAGACGGUUAUGCAAGUCUGAAGUGAAAGCCCAAGGCUCAACCAUGGGACUGCUUUGGAAACUGUAAAACUGGAGUGCAGGAGAGGUAAGCGGAAUUCCCAGUGUAGCGGUGAAAUGCGUAGAUAUUAGGAGGAACACCAGUGGCGAAGGCGGCUUACUGGACUGUAACUGACGUUGAGGCUCGAAGGCGUGGGGAGCAAACAGG
rnacentral:rRNA from 1 species